UUCAAACAUGUUAAACAAGCAUCAUCAAAAUUCAAAGCUUUUCUAUUGCUCUAUCUGUUUUCAUGGAUUUUCUCGAAAAUAUAAUCUUCAACGCCAUGAAGAAACACAUAAAGAAGUCAGAAUGGUAUAUUCCUGCAAACUGUGUCCAAAAGUUUAUCCCCAUAAAGAUAAACUGAAGCAGCAUGAGAAAAUAGUGCAUCAUAGUAAUAAUCCAUUUUGAUAUAAAAAUUCAGCUAUGGGUUGUCUUACAAGAAUUAUUUUAAUGUAUAUUAAGAUUUAUCAUUAAUUAAUAACAUCCCUGCCACUGGAUCAUUGUUUCAAGUUUUCAGAUGCCACAUAUGUUUUCGUACCUUUAAUUUAAAGCAUCAUCUCCUUCGCCAUGAAGAACUGCACAAAGAAGUGAGACAGUUGUAUUCCUGUACCUUCUGUCCAAGCACCUACUCACGUAAAGACAAUUUGAAGUCCCAUAUGGCAUUACAUCAUAAUUUCGUAGAUAGGGAGAAACGAGGGAAAAGAUGAAUCUAAAAUUAAAAGAGAUUCACCUCUUUUAUACAAGCAUCUGACUCAGUUACAUCCUUUUCAUUGUUCUGUCUGUUUCCGUGGAUUUUCUCAGAAAGGUAAUCUCCAGCGGCAUGAAGAGAUGCACAAAGAAGUUAGAGUGAUGUAUCCCUGCCAAUUCUGCUCCAAACUUUUUGCCCGGAAAGAUAAGGUGAAGCAGCAUGAAAAACUGGUACAUCAAUUUGGGAUAUAAAAAAAAUAUUUCUUAGCGCUGUCUUGGAGUGCUUGAUAUUUUGAAGAAAAAGGGAAGUUGCUGUGAUAUUCUGAUAAAAGAUUCAGGAAUUGAAUAUAUUAUCUAACCAAUUGAGAAGAAAUCAACAGUUACCUUUUUUUUCCUUUUACCUUUAUUUUUUUUUUUUUCUUCUUUUGUGUGGAAAUCCCAAUUUAUGUGAAAUGAAAUUUCUACAGUGAAGAUUGUAGGUCAGAGAACUGAAGUGAAAUAGAAAGGGGUAGUAAUAGAGGAAAAAAGCAAGAAGAAAAAUAACUUUUGUGUAUGUAUUCAUGUUGAUAUUGUUUCAUUACCUAGCAGUGAGAGGUGGAGAAAAUAGAAGAAUGAUUGACAUACAAGUUUAUGAUUACUAUUUACUUGUUAAUGUUGUGAGACCAAAACUGUAUGCAUUUUACAUGGAUGCAAGUUAAGCUAUUUGCAUAUGCACAGAAUUUUCUUUGCCAUUAUCAUCAAAAUACAGAUAUGCAUACUGUCUUUUUAUACAUAAAAACAAAAUUCAGCAAUAUAUCUUUUUAUUGCCCUAGCAUGAUCUUUUUGAAUAGUUACAUUAUUUUCAAAACUAUUCCUAAAGAUAGAGCAUUUUAUGUCUUCAAGUAAAAAUUAGCAAUAAUUGAACAAAAUAAUGCAAAUAUGGAAGCCUGAGCAACACAAGAAAUUACAUCAUCAUUAUUCUCAAGAUUUACUAGCCAAUAUUUUCUAAUGCUCAUUGAAACAAUUUCAUCAUAUAAAGCCCAUAAAUAUUGUGAAGUUUAUUUAUCAAGAAAAGAAAGCUAAUUUUAUCUGUUUGAAAGUUGCCAAGUGGUUAUAUGCAUUGAUCGUUACUAAUUUUUGCUAUACCAUGUAAAACUUUUUUAAUUUAAUUCCUCAAAACUAUAAAUUCUUUAUGUAUGUGUACUAUUUUUUUUUUUUUUUUUAACAUUUUGAAAUAUUUCUGUCUUUAUAUAAUAAUAAUAUUAACAAAAAGCUUUGAUGAAUGGGUCAGUUUUUUACUUUUCUGAAUGAGGAAAAUUAUUUAUAUGUCUUCUGUUAAAUGAUAUAAAAAAAUGUUGGAAACAAUGAGUGAAAGAACUAGAGAAUAUUGUAUUACUGAAAGACUAGACUAACAGUAAGAAAGGUAGCAAAGGAAAUUUAGAGGUUAUAGACCAAUGGGAACACAGUUGGGAGUAAGGAAUAUUUAUUAUGUUCUGUAGUAAUUAUAAAUAUCUUUGAAUAAAUUUGAUUGCUAUUUUUAAGAAAAUGUUUUACAGUUUACAUCAGUUCUAAAGAAGUUUCACUUUUGUGCAUAUACGUACCUAAAGCAUUAUGUUUAUUUCUAAUGUUUUGAUGAAUCAUUUAUUAAUGUAUAAAUAAUUUUAGUUAUGACCCUAAA